CGUUUUCCUAGCACAAAAAUAUCUAGCCUAACAUAACGGCGAAAUUAAAUAUAUAAAAGUGGAAUGAUAUCACCAAUAAUUGACAAAACGUGAUUAAUCUUUCAAUAUAUAGAUCUGCCGUCUUUUUCCUCUUUUCUACGUGAUGUCGUCUGCCUCUGUAUGCGCGUUCCUUAAUUCCAACCAUCCAAUGUCUCCCCAAGCAGCCUGCUUCCUAUGGGAAUUAUAUAUGUAUAAAAAUCAGAUUUGAGCCCACCAAUUAAUUCCCCACCUGCUGGCCAACAAUCACAAUUCAACCACGCAAUCUAUCGGCUUUAUGUGGGUGAGUGUAUAUAUAUAAUUUAACUUUUGCAGCCCACUAAUUCAACCCACAAGCUUCUCAAUUGUUUUGGUGGAAGAAUUCCUUUUCUUAAAAUCCCAGCAGCCGGCCAACUUUAUAUAUUUCGCCACUCAAAUUUUUCGACUUCACCAAUCUGCCGUUUUCUAUGUAUGUGUCUAUGAACUUAGCCUUGUCUUCCUCUCAAUUUGCCGCUGACUUGAAUAAUCCCAGAAGGGAUUCUAAUUUUCCUCAACGUCUGCACACUUUUAUUGCCAAUUACCGAGUCCAAUUUCAGCCUGCUUUCUAUUCCUUUUAAGUCCCCUAAAGCUGCUGGUUUUCUGUGGUCUUUAUUCUAUUAUGCCCCGGCUUUCUCCUUCUCUCGGUGGCAUGUGUAUAUAUAUAUAUAUAUAUAUAUAUAUAUAUAUAUAUCUGAUGCAACCUAGCAGCCCUUGUAUUGUAGUCUUGUAAACACAACAGGAG
rnacentral:lncRNA from 1 species